AUUUUAUAUAAUUUCUUUAUUUUAUUCUCUCAGCCUCACUGUGUUUUGUGAAGUUUACAUAAUCCACCAACUAUGCUUAUGGUCACGAUUUUGUUUUUAUUUUUUUCCUUCUAAUUUUCUAAAAUUAAGAAAGGUCUCCCUCGCGAAAUAGAGCACGUAAACGUAGAUCACCUGCACCGCACGAGAUCUCUCAGCGCACAAACCACUACCGUCGGAGGGGGAAGGAGAUACAGAGAGCAAUCUCCGGCCAUUGUACCAGAACUGGGAAACCCUAAGAUCUUGACUGAUCUGCGAUCGAGAAAUGGCGAAGCUUGAACAACAAUUCGACGAACCAAAGGUGAAAAACAAGAAGAGGAAUCAUGGGUCCACCAAGUUGUUUGUCUUGAUUGAUUACAUAUUCAUUCUCAUAUUUCUUGGUUUCCUGUCUUUCAUUAUCUUCAAGAUGGUGGGACUCUGAUUCCCGCAGACUCCCAAUUCUUCAUAUGAGGUCCAAGCUGUUGGGAAUUCGAGGGCAUUGUCAUAAUCAGAUAGAGAUCGUGGAUAUCUCAAUACACACUGUUAUGCGGGGCAUUGAAAAAUGAAAAUCCCAUGCCUUCAUGUUCAUGAUCUUGAAAGUUUUGGAAUUAUUGUUGAGAACUUGUUGCCUUACCCAUGUUCAUGUAUGCAAUUUAUUGAUUCUGACGUUUUCUUUCUUUUUUCUUAAUUUUUUUUUUUUCAAAAUGAAACGAUAGGGGUCUGGUCCUAUAUCUAGUUCUACAAUUAGUGCAUGUAUUUUCCAGUGAGAUUGUCUACCAUUCACAUCGAUAAAAAUGUAUAGAAUACACGGUUGGAAGCAACGAGGCGCUUACAAAAA